UCGCGGGUGGUCUAACGGUUACGAUGGUCUCCUUUCAUUUCAGCUGCACGGGACAGAACGGGGUUCGAUUCCUCGCUCGCGGC